CCUCCACGCCUCCGAGGCCGCCGGGGCGUGCUCACGAGGCCGCCCGCCGGAAGUAUGUCAUCUCCCACCGCCUCGCGGCCGUGCUGUUUCCUGAAACACUGUCCAGUCUGGGGAAGUGACUUAGAUGAACGACUGUUUCGUAAUUUCGGCGCUUGUGGAACGGCUCCUGGUGUCCUCUUCAGGCACAGAAAUGGACACAGCCUGACGCGGAAGGACACCCCUCUCCAGGCCGGAGUCCAGAACUGGGAAAGCGCUAUAUGUACUGUGACCAGGCAGUCCGUUCCUCUGCGAAAUCCGAACAAGCUGAGGGAGAGCCCAGUCAGGCUGUGGGGUGCGGGGAAAGGACAGCGUUAGGAAACGUGAGGGCCCCUGGUCCAGUCUCGGGCCACUGAUGGCUCCAGCACGGCGGGUUUGCACGGGUUACUCAGCAGCACAGAACUUAGCGUACGCAAUAUCUAGGGAAAGUGAACACGAAUCCGGGCUUCAUAAAUGCUAAUAUCGUCAUCACUGGCCCUCAGAGACCUUGUGAGCUGCACAGUUUGGAGUACUGAUACACGAUACACUCAGAGUAUUUUCUCCUGCUUAGACAGUUCAGCAUUCAUUCAGUGCCUCCUUGAGAGGAGACGAGUACCUUGAAACCCUGAAGGCCUCGUGUCUUCCUCCUCAUCAGACCCAGGCGGACUUAACCGAGAAUGAAGCCACUGCUAGGACACUCAACAGGGAACCCGAAGCAGCAAGGGAUCCAGGAGCAGCCCAGCUACUGCUUGGCUCUCACAAAAUGGUCGCCUUGGAACUCUUUAUGGAAAAGGAGAAAACACCACCACCACCGUUUCCUAACCCUGCACUGAAUGUGAAGACAACAACCACCCACCCCCAAAGGAAACUCUGCCAGGGUACAUGUAUAGUACCUACAGCAUUGAUCAAGUAUUUUGGAUCAAUAAGUGAGGUUGUACUGUUGACUGUUUUCAUCUCAUUAAUGAACGACACAUCGCUGAAGCUCACGGUGAAGUCUCAACCUCCAGUUUGCAGACUACGUGGCACCAUUUUACAGACACACGCUUGCACUUUCCCUCUACCACUAUACUCCAAGUUCCUGGCUGGCACUGGAGUUACAUCCUUAGCAUGUACACCAUAACCUCCAGGUGAGGUAAAGAGUGGAAUAUAUGAAGAUCAAAUUUCUGAGAAGAUUAAGUACUACAUGAAGGAAAAUGCAAAACAUGCAGAAAAAAUGUCCAUUUGUGAAUAGAAGGUUCACCUCUCCCUUUACGAAGUUCAUACCAGCGAAGUGAAAUUGAAGUGUGAAGAACAGGAAGUGAAAUCGAAGUCUGAAGAAACAGGCUGUGCAGAAAGAAAAUGCUCAGGUUAAGAUCCACAAGAAUCAGUUUAUGCAAGUCAGAAUCAACCUCCAUCCACCUCCAUCCUUUAUGAGACCUAAGACGUGAUGCAGCUCCCAUGGGAAAUAUCAGUUUUGUCUCUACCAAGGAUGCAGAGAAAGACAAGACUCAGGCUUGUUUCCAGGAAGAAACCCUGACAGAAAUUCAGAAGAACGGGAGCUGCAUUCCAUUAGGACGUGAAUACACGAAAUGUUUGUCUCAGGACCUUCUAGAAGAAUGAGCUGGGACCCACUUUCCGAGUCCUGCUGGAACCAGAGACCGAGAUUCAGGCUUGUUUCCGGGAAGAAACCCUGACAGAAAUUCAGAAGAACAGGAGCUGCAUUCCAUUAGGACAUGAAUACAUGAAAUACUCGUCUUGGGAACUCCUAGAAGAAUGAGCUGGGACCCACUUUCGAGUCCUGCUAGAACCAGUGACCGAGAAAAUAAAAACGCCCUGGAAGACAAGUGUAAUGCAUUGAGGUCUGUGAAAGCCACAAAGGAAGCAAAAGUCAAACAGCUGAAGGAGAAAGCACAUAACCUAGAAGAAUUCUAUGAACGAAGAAAAGUGCCUACAAAAAAGAAGCUGAAAAUGACACUGUGAACUGGCGGCAAAGAAGAAUCAGCUAGCAGCUGCAGAUCUCAAGUAGUGACCAGACUGUGUGGAAACUUUGUCCAUGCUAACAUUCCUCGGGGGUGGUGUCAAUUGUCGUCAUCUGUAGGAAAGCAGUGUGUCGUACAAUGAAUCAUACCCAUCAACGUGGUAGUGCCAUUUCAUGGCCCUCGUCUUUGCAACCCUGGGAAACAUGGUGAGGAUAUAAGUUAUAGAAGAAUAGAUCUUUAUGAUAAAAGACACUUGUCACAUGAUGAGUUAGAGAAAGAUUGAAAAUGGGAAGGAAUUCUAUGAACUCUGAACCCUACAGGCAUGGGAUAAUGAGUAAGGAAAGGAUGUGACAAUAGCUUUGAUCCUACUGUACAUUGAUAAUCAUGGGCAAAGUGUUUCAUGUGUAAGAAUAAAUUGUAUCAGGGGACAGAUAUGAGGUUGGUGGGAACGUGGGCAGCUUAUUUAAAAUCAUACCCAAUAUUGGGCCUUAUCUGACAAGAGCAAUUGUAACUCACAGGCAACAAAUUGAACAAACACGGGAACAGCUGCAGCAGGCAGAGCUCACCUUUAGAUACCAGUUCACGAGAAGAAUGCUCAGGACAACUAGGGAUGACGCCUGCACUGUUAGUUGUCUAGUAGACGACGUGGUGUUGCAACUCUUAUAGAAGUCCAUUAUUUUUCUGUAUCCAAGACUGGACGGGAUGGAAGCAAAGAGGCUGCCUGAGGGAUACACGAGGCAGAAACCAAUCACUGCAAGAACCCUCCAAGGCGAGGGCAGUCUGGAUCCUGGGGACCUCCUCCGUUAACUGGAUGAUUCUGCAUGCCCCACCCCCAUGGACUAUUAGGCACGUCGACCUCCUGAACCUUGGUGGCCCUGGGGCCACCCGGAACCCCUCCACCUGCAACACUUGAAUUUCAGCUCAUUUUUCCAGAGGACACAAUUACCCUGCAAAGUGUACUGCACUUAAGCUGAGAAGUACCUCCGAAGUAAAAUAACUUAGCUGAACCCAACUAACAGGCUAUUUUGUAUGCAAGAGUCCUGGUCCUUUCCCAGGAUUGCCUUGCAGGCUGUGCCCCGUGGACCACCCUUCACCACCAGUCAUGGGCUAUAGGCCACAUCCCCCUCCUCCACCUACUCUAUUUGUUAAGAUGACCUGAACUGGCUGAGUGGCUGGACAACUCUUUUGAAAUUGAAGAGGACUGUGCACGGUGACAGACAAUCGUGUUUGCAUAUACAUUGUAAGAAGGUGUCAGAUCUACCUGAAUGCUUUCCCUGCCCAUCCUGUCCCCUCCACUUUGUCCUUCCUACUGUCCCCUAAUCUACGUUUCAUCGUUUUGUCUCUGUGCCAGCGUCUGCUUCUAGGGCCAUCUACUCUCGCUCCCCAUUGAGUGCACACAGUGGGGUUCCUGUACACACAGGUAACAAAGUGCCAGAAAUGGUGGUGAGGGAGGAUAGAAGCAAGAUCACCCUUUGUGCGGGGGAGCCUGAGGGAGUUUUCCGGGGCGAUGGGAACUACCUAUAUCUAGAUUGAUGGGGUGCUUAUGCUCAAUUAUUUUGGAAAUAUUCCCUGACUCCAUGGUGCCUUGGGGUCAGACAGGUAUCUGUCCUUAGGAAAUGGCUGAGUUCUAAUGGUGGAGAAGGAUGAGGGACCAGCAGUGACUGUGGUAGAGGAGUAAGGGUCAGACCCACGCCCAGGAUGCCAGGUCUCCACAGACAGCACCAAGUGUAGGAGGAUUCUGAGGAGCAGAGAUUUCUUGAUCAGACCCAUGGACUACAUAAUCCUCCUGUAGCUUCCUCACUGAGCGAUGGCUAGAGCCGAGGCCAGCAGCUGGAGGACACCUGAUCAUGGCUGGAGUGGAGCAGUGGGCCUGGGGGAUUGAGUCAGGGAAAGGGCCAGGCAGAAGGUAGUGACAGGGAGUUUGAGAGACAAACGGAAGAGAAGAGAAGGGACCCUUCUCUGCUGACUUCACCUACAUUUCUGUGUGACCAAAACGAGACCCUUGUCUCCCACGGAAGGGAAGAGGGCUGGCAAAACACCGAGUGACAUACUCAGCUCAAGUGCCCAGGGUAUCUGCCUUGCUCUUGAGUACCUAACACAGGAAGCACGUGCUUUCUGUUACCAUUGGAACUGCAGCUCGUACCAUUCAGUGAAAAUCAAUCCAAUUAUGCAUCCCUCAGCAUUAAAGUACUCCAACAAAAUUAAGUGAACAGACUGAAAGAUACAAGGCAGGAUAAAGUCCAAAGGUAGAGCGAUGGCAAUACUUACGGGAAUACAGUCUAUCCGAAAAGGAGGUAGGUACCCUAGUGCAGGCCUCAGCCACCUGGGCAAUAUCUGAAAAUGUUAAAAAAAAAAAAAAAAGUCCUUACUCCAAAAGCAACAUUAGCUCUAGACACAAAGGGAUCAUGAUUAAGGUUUAGAGAGCAACCAUAGGACUUCAUGGUGCUGUAUCCAUGAGAUCAAGUUUCAUCAAAUUAUACCCUUUAAGUUGAGGCUCUUUGUUAUAUGUAAAUUAUACCUCAUUAAAGAGAGUUUCAAAACAUAAAA